UUUUUAAAGAUUUUAUUUAUUUAUUUUUCCCCCAAAGCCCCAGUAGACAGUUGUAUGUCGUAGUUGCACAUCCUUCUAGUUGCUGUAUGUGGGACGCGGCCUCAGCAUGGCGGGAGAAGCGGUGCAUCGGUGCGCGCCCGGGAUCCGAACCCGGGGCCGCCAGCAGCGGAGCGCACGCACGUAACCGCUAAGCCACGGGGCUGGCCUCUCUGUUCACUUUAGAGAGUCGUUGAGAACUGAACCUGCCCUAUUUCCUGAAGCCUUGCAAACUAAAGCUGGACAACUUGAUAUAAGCUUAAGAGAGAUUCAUGUUUGUUGCUGUGUAAGCCACUCAGAAAGGCCUAACUUUGGGAGCCCGCCUGCAUCACCACCUUCUAAAAUGAACUUAAUCGAACUGAUCUAUUAUCAGGACUAAGAAAUGUAUUCAGUGAGAUGAAACAAUCUACCAACUCAGCUCUGGACUAUGAAACUUCUUUAAGUUUCAAAAGGACUGAGAAACUUUUAGUUUCAAAGGCAGGACUGUGGGAGAUCAAAAUUUGGCCACCCCAAAAUAUAUCUCUUUAUCUUGAUUAUUUUCUCUGAUGGACAUUUGACCUCCCCCACUAACUGCCUAAAGGAAUUU